rnacentral:rRNA from 1 species
AUGUUGGUCAAUGGUCGAGAGCCUGAACCAGCCAAGUAGCGUGAAGGAUGACCGCCCUAUGGGUUGUAAACUUCUUUUAUAUGGGAAUAAAGGGUGCCACGUGUGGCAUUUUGUAUGUACCAUAUGAAUAAGGAUCGGCUAACUCCGUGCCAGCAGCCGCGGUAAUACGGAGGAUCCGAGCGUUAUCCGGAUUUAUUGGGUUUAAAGGGAGCGUAGGUGGACAUGUAAGUCAGUUGUGAAAGUUUGCGGCUCAACCGUAAAAUUGCAGUUGAUACUGCGUGUCUUGAGUACAGUAGAGGUGGGCGGAAUUCGUGGUGUAGCGGUGAAAUGCUUAGAUAUCACGAAGAACUCCGAUUGCGAAGGCAGCUCACCGGACUGCAACUGGCACUGAUGCUUGAAAGUGUGGGUAUCAAACAGG